CAGAGUUGCAAGACUCCCUAAACCAUUGUGAACCUACCUUCUACCGUUGCUUCGGCGGGCGGGCCCCAGCGCCCCCCCCGGCCCCCCGCGGGCGCCCGCCGGAGGAUACCCAAACUCUUGACAUUAGUGGCCUCUCUGAGUAUUCUUUACUGAAUAAGUCA
rnacentral:misc_RNA from 1 species